UAAGAGGGUAGAUAUCUCAAUGCAGAUUUU
rnacentral:piRNA from 1 species